rnacentral:tRNA from 1 species
UUAAAGCACCUCGCUUACAUCGAGAAAAUACCUGUGAAAAUCAAGUUAUUCCGA